GGUUCAUGCUUGUCGGAGUAUGGGAACCAGGGAGGAAAGGGUAAGCUUCCUGAGCACUGUUCCCUGAUCUCUUUAGCAGUUGAGGACAAGCAAGCUGGAAAGCAUUUGGGGCCAUUUUGAGGUCUGGUGAAGUCUGGAGAAGUCCAAGAUGGAGGCUCUCCGCUCCAGGAAACCUACACCUUCUCUCUGGAAACUUCUAGAAUUGUCAUUUUUAUUUUUGGUUUCUUGAAGCACACAUUUAUUAUUAUUUUUAAACUUCAGAGCUUUCAUGAUAUGAUGGCAAAGAAAUAAGAACUGGUACAAAUUACCAGCAAUGAAGAGAAUGUGGAGAGGUCUUCAGAGGAUAAGCAAUUGUGUGAUACAUCGACUGUGGAAAGUAGGAGAAGGACUGGGGGCUGAUGAAGUGAGGCGGACAGAGGAAGAUGCAGUGAAGAAUAUACACGAUGCAGACCACUGUCAAGGGAAAUUGUUCUUGCAAAUUCCUGGGAGGGCUCAAAAUCUCUUGAUUUGAUGGUGGGCAAGAGGGAGAUUUGGGCUGAGAGAAACCCCCACCUUCUCCACCCUGAGGUCAUGGGGGGGAAGAAUCGUUCCUCUCUAACAAAACUGAACAACCUGUUGUUAGUGCAGGAGCUAAUGACACUUCUGUCCAUUUCUACUCACCCUGAAAUGGAAGUCAAUAGUCAACCAAUGCCUGCUGGUGUAUGGUGAGUUCACAGUAAGCUUUGCUCAUCCCGUCAAUGACUAGGUAUUUGAGGGAAUUGCGGUACAUGAAAAGGAAACAUUGUGAAAUAGAGGAAUGACCCUGUAAGAAAGCAAGAGAUAACUCAAGGUAAAUAAGGAGCUUGAAAGAGACAAAUUUAUAUCCUCAGAGAUAUUCAUGAAGACACCACACCAGUUAAGCAAGAUGCUAUGACAUGCCAACUAAAAAGGUGGAGGAGAAAAUAAAGAAUAAGGAAAAGAAAAAGAAAAAGAGUAUAAAAUGACCAUCACCAACAAAAAAAUAGCAUUUAGAAUAAUCCAGGAGCUCAAUAACCACCGGAAAGGAAAACUAAAAAGACAAAUAUGUGGGAAGGAAGUAUUAAAGAAACAUUAUAAGAGAAUCUCCCAGAGUUGAAAGAUACAAAAGUUGAGAAAGAAGUUUUUACUUAAUGCCCAUCAUGAGGCAACAUAAAAAUGCGGAACACUAAUAAUGAAAGAAAAAAUUUAAAUGUCUCCAGAGAGAGAGAAAUGAAGAAAAAAAUGAGAGACAACCCCCGAGUAAGUGGGCAUUGGAGACUUGUAAGAACAACACGAGUUGUUAGAAGAUAAUAAAGCAGUGCUUCAAAUUAUGAAGAAAAUAACUUUCAACUAGAAGUCUAUAUCCAGAAAAAUCACUGUGAAUUUUGAAGGCAGAAGAAAAAAGAUUUUCAGACAGAGGAGGUGUAGAAAGUCUUAAGGCUACAUAUCUCUCUAAGGAAGUCACUGGAGAAUGUACUUUUGCAAGAUGAGGGAGUAAAGCCAGACCGAGGGGAACUUGGGUUUUGGAAGCAGCUCCUGAACCCUUGAGCAGCCAUUUUUGCAGAUGACAAUUUUGCUGAAGGUCUAGGGAGAGAUCAGUACAGAUUUCACAGUGAAGGAAACCCUAAUUUGUAUCCUUUGCUACUCACAAAGACGUUAUAAGCACAGAAAGGUUAAGUCAAUUGGCCAAGAUCACCCCAAUGAUAAGUAGUUCGUUAACAAUCUGGACUCUGCCAGAAUGACUUCCUAGCCUGAACCCUUACUCCUUUAUCAUACUUUGCUUCUUUUUGUCCAUAAUCUUAAAGUGAUCCAAAGUUUCCACUGGGCAAAUAAAACUAGAGAUAUGUUCUAUGUGUGCCAAACACUGAUUUAUUUGAGUCAGAGGGAAAAAAAAAGCCUAUAUAAAAUUGAUGAAAUAACAAAUAGUUAUCUCCAGAAAUAGUUUCUGGAGAAAUGAAGGGAACCACCGGGAAAGAAAGUUUUAAAAAGUGAAAGGUUUGGUUAAGGGAGAGGGUCUGGGGAAAGGGAGAAAGAAGGUGAGAGAUUGUUUUACUGCAUUUGAAAUCUUCUGCUCCUUUAACAAUUAUUAAAUCCUGCACACGUAUUAUUUUAAAAGUUUACAUUUUUAUUUCUUUGUAUUUUUAAAAAGGGUAAAUAGGGCUUGUUUGGGAGAGAGGCCAGGUGAGGAGUUAGGGCAGUGUACGGAGGCACAGAAGAGCCAGGAGUUCAAGGCUUGGGGGAGACUGGUGUGCUUUAUAGAGUGCCAGCACUGCAGGGGGGCUGGGCUUGCUAGGAGAAGCUGGAGAUGGCUCUGGAAAAGUAGACUAGGGCAAGGCUGUGGAAAGCAUUGAAUACCAUGCUAAGAAGUUUGGAAUUUCCUUUGUUGGCAACCAGGAACCAUGAGAAGUUUUGAGCAGUGUGAUCCCAUCUGUGUUUUCGAAGGCUCAUCCUUAUGGUGACAUCCUUAUGGUAGAAUUUGAAAUGUGGGGACGCCAGGAGGCAGGGGCUGUCACAACAAUCUUAAGAGACUCUUGGGGACCUGAAGUAAGGCUUUCGACCUGUGAGGCAAGAGAAGCUCCAGACCUGUGACUGGAAGGGAAAAUUCUUCCUGCUACUGUGGCUGCCUCCCAGGACUGCCACCCUCAAGACCUGGCUCUGCGGUGGGCUAGGGUGGCCCCUGCACCCCUCUCCCCCCCACCCCCUCCACCCCCGCCCUGGGUGGCAGUGGGUAUGUCCAGUGCCAUCACUCUUACUCUCCUCUUUCGGGAGCCACUAGGAGCAACCCCUGGUUCACGGCUUAUUCUAGCUUUUCAAACCUUACUAUAAACCAUUUUUUGGCCACUUUCCAAGACAGGUUUUAGUUUUCAGUACAGGAUUUUUACCAACUUUCUUCUCACUCCCCUCCACACCCUUUAAUGAUUCCCUUGGUUUUUAUAAGCCGUUUUUCAGAUUUUUCCUCCUGCCUUGCCAACUCAUCUAAGAAAUAGGGUUUUUCUUUUCU